CUUGUACUCCCUCCGUCCCAAAAUUCUUGUCUUAGAUUAGUCUAGAUACAGAUGUAUCUAAUACUAAAACGUGACUUGAUAUAUCCGUAUUUAGACAAAUCUAAGACAAGAAUUUUGAAACAGAGGAAGUACUAG
rfam:Triticum aestivum genome assembly, contig: Triticum_aestivum_CS42_TGACv1_scaffold_404684_5BL